rnacentral:rRNA from 1 species
ACGAUGAAGCCCUGCUUGCAGGGUGGAUUAGUGGCGAACGGGUGAGUAACACGUGAGUAACCUGCCCCCGACUCUGGGAUAAGCCCGGGAAACUGGGUCUAAUACCGGAUAUGACUUCCUACUGCAUGGUGGGUUGUUGAAAGAUUUAUCGGUGGGGGAUGGACUCGCGGCCUAUCAGCUUGUUGGUGAGGUAAUGGCUCACCAAGGCGACGACGGGUAGCCGGCCUGAGAGGGUGACCGGCCACACUGGGACUGAGACACGGCCCAGACUCCUACGGGAGGCAGCAGUGGGGAAUAUUGCACAAUGGGCGGAAGCCUGAUGCAGCGACGCCGCGUGAGGGAUGACGGCCUUCGGGUUGUAAACCUCUUUCAGUAGGGAAGAAGCGAAAGUGACGGUACCUGCAGAAGAAGCGCCGGCUAACUACGUGCCAGCAGCCGCGGUAAUACGUAGGGCGCAAGCGUUAUCCGGAUUUAUUGGGCGUAAAGAGCUCGUAGGCGGUUUGUCGCGUCUGCCGUGAAAGUCCGAGGCUCAACCUCGGAUCUGCGGUGGGUACGGGCAGACUAGAGUGAUGUAGGGGAGACUGGAAUUCCUGGUGUAGCGGUGAAAUGCGCAGAUAUCAGGAGGAACACCGAUGGCGAAGGCAGGUCUCUGGGCAUUUACUGACGCUGAGGAGCGAAAGCAUGGGGAGCGAACAGGAUUAGAUACCCUGGUAGUCCAUGCCGUAAACGUUGGGCACUAGGUGUGGGGGACAUUCCACGUUUUCCGCGCCGUAGCUAACGCAUUAAGUGCCCCGCCUGGGGAGUACGGCCGCAAGGCUAAAACUCAAAGGAAUUGACGGGGGCCCGCACAAGCGGCGGAGCAUGCGGAUUAAUUCGAUGCAACGCGAAGAACCUUACCAAGGCUUGACAUGUGCCAGACCGCUCCAGAGAUGGGGUUUCCCUUCGGGGCUGGUUCACAGGUGGUGCAUGGUUGUCGUCAGCUCGUGUCGUGAGAUGUUGGGUUAAGUCCCGCAACGAGCGCAACCCUCGUUCCAUGUUGCCAGCACGUAGUGGUGGGGACUCAUGGGAGACUGCCGGG